rnacentral:lncRNA from 1 species
AAUGCUUUGCUCUCGUUGUCUCAUUUGAAUUAAAAGUAAUUUUUAGAAAUCAAUAAAUUCUAAUUAAUCCUAAAGUGCUCUUGUUGUGUUUAGAAUUAAUGCCUAGUUUCUGCUAUCCGGUUAGAAUCUCAAACUCUCGUUUUAUUGACCAUAACCUUGUUUUCUUUUUACUCUCGUACGAAAGCAAUUUUAAUUUUAGAAUAAGAAACUAUAACCAGAAAAAUAGUUUAUGAAGAUC